rnacentral:piRNA from 1 species
UAAAAGCUUGAGACCUCCGAUUCACCGCGCC